rnacentral:rRNA from 1 species
AGAGUUUGAUCCUGGCUCAGAACGAACGUGGGCGGCGUGGAUUAGGCAUGCAAGUCGAACGAAUCCCAUCUGGGUAACUGGAUGGGGGAAGUGGCGAAAGGGGCAGUAAGGCAUGGGUAACCUACCCUGGGGAUCGGGAUAGCCAUUCUAACGAGUGGGUAAUACCGGGCGAUCUAGCGAGGGGGCAUCUUCUUGCUAGGAAAUGAAUUUCGCCUCAGGAGGGGCUCAUGUAGUAUUAGCUUGUUGGCGGGGUAACGGCCCACCAAGGCCAAGAUGCUUAGCGGGUGUGAGAGCACGACCCGCGCCACUGGCACUGAGACACUGGCCAGACUCCUACGGGAGGCUGCAGUCGAGGAUCUUCGGCAAUGGGCGCAAGCCUGACCGAGCGACGCCGCGUGUGCGAUGAAGGCCUUCGGGUUGUAAAGCACUGUCGAGGGGGAGGAAAGCCCGCAAGGGUCUGACCUAUCCCUGGAGGAAGCACGGGCUAAGUUCGUGCCAGCAGCCGCGGUAAGACGAACCGUGCGAACGUUGUUCGGAUUCACUGGGCUUAAAGGGCGCGUAGGCGGGCGGUCAAGUCGGUGGUGAAAUCUUUCAGCUUAACUGGAAAAGUGCCUCCGAUACUGAUCGCCUCGAGGGAGGUAGGGGCAUGUGGAACUUCCGGUGGAGCGGUGAAAUGCGUAGAUAUCGGAAGGAACGCCGGUGGCGAAAGCGACGUGCUGGACCUCUUCUGACGCUGAGGCGCGAAAGCUAGGGGAGCAAACGGGAUUAGAUACCCCGGUAGUCCUAGCCCUAAACGAUGGGUACUAGAUUGUGGACUUAACAUGGGUUCACAGUCGAAGCUAAAGUGUUAAGUACCCCGCCUGGGA